rnacentral:rRNA from 1 species
GUAGGUGGCAAGCGUUGUCCGGAAUUAUUGGGCGUAAAGCGCGCGCAGGUGGUUCUUUAAGUCUGAUGUGAAAGCCCCCGGCUCAACCGGGGAGGGUCAUUGGAAACUGGGGAACUUGAGUGCAGGAGAGGAAAGUGGAAUUCCACGUGUAGCGGUGAAAUGCGUAGAUAUGUGGAGGAACACCAGUGGCGAAGGCGACUUUCUGGCCUGUAACUGACACUGAGGCGCGAAAGCGUGGGGAGCAAACAGGGAUUAGAUACCCUGGUAGUCCACGCCUUAAACGAUGAGUGCUAAGUGUUGGGGGGGUUUCCCGCCCCUCAGUGCUGCAGCUAACGCAUUAAGCACCCCCGCCUGGGGAGUACGGUCGCAAGACUG